rnacentral:lncRNA from 1 species
UCUUUCUCUACAAAAUUUCUCUCCAAAAUUUCUUCCUUAAAAUUUCUCUCUUACUUUGGACCUCCUCACAUCCCUUUUUAUAGCCUUCAAGACCUUCUCAAACCUUAGGUACCCCAAGUCUUGGUUUGUCUCAUGUCUCCCCUCUUUCCUAUUUUGAUUUUUGACACCCCAAACCCUAGCCAUCCCACUCUCUCUCAAAAGCCUUUUAAAAACCUAAAUCUCUGUCUCGCAUUUUAGGUGGUUUAAAACCAUGCCUGCCCCCAUCUCGUGCUCGCAUGCACGCCCAUGUCCCUGCACAUCAAUCGUACCUGUACCUGCACCCACACUUGCACGCCUGCGCUUGUGUGAAAGACUGUGUGGUUUGUUCUUGUGAGCCAUGCAUGGACCACACAGUUGCUCUCUGUGCACUUUGCGUGGAUCAUAUGGCAGUUCUUUAUGCACCAUGCGUGGACCGCACGCCUGUUUCUAUGAGUUAGCAUGCAUGGACUGCGUGGGCUUCUUUGGGCCAUGUCUUUUGUUGUGGGCCUUAUGCCUCUGUGGGCCAUGCUAUUCUAUUUUUCUUUGGUCUGGAUGUGCAUGUUGGCUGAAAAUUUAUCAAUAGAGGCAGGCUAACUUAGGAUUCAUCAUUGUAAAUAUUGAGGGCCUUUGCUAG